AUGAACGCUAGCUACAGGCUUAACACAUGCAAGUCGAGGGGCAUCAGGAAGAAAGCUUGCUUUCUUUGCUGGCGACCGGCGCACGGGUGAGUAACACGUAUCCAACCUGCCCUUUACUCGGGGAUAGCCUUUCGAAAGAAAGAUUAAUACCCGAUAGCAUAAUGAUUCCGCAUGGUUUCAUUAUUAAAGGAUUCCGGUAAAGGAUGGGGAUGCGUUCCAUUAGGUUGUUGGUGAGGUAACGGCCCACCAAGCCUUCGAUGGAUAGGGGUUCUGAGAGGAAGGUCCCCCACAUUGGAACUGAGACACGGUCCAAACUCCUACGGGAGGCAGCAGUGAGGAAUAUUGGUCAAUGGGCGGUAGCCUGAACCAGCCAAGUAGCGUGAAGGAUGAAGGCUCUAUGGGUCGUAAACUUCUUUUAUAUAAGAAUAAAGUGCAGUAUGUAUACUGUUUUGUAUGUAUUAUAUGAAUAAGGAUCGGCUAACUCCGUGCCAGCAGCCGCGGUAAUACGGAGGAUCCGAGCGUUAUCCGGAUUUAUUGGGUUUAAAGGGAGCGUAGGUGGACUGGUAAGUCAGUUGUGAAAGUUUGCGGCUCAACCGUAAAAUUGCAGUUGAUACUGUCAGUCUUGAGUACAGUAGAGGUGGGCGGAAUUCGUGGUGUAGCGGUGAAAUGCUUAGAUAUCACGAAGAACUCCGAUUGCGAAGGCAGCUCACUGGACUGCAACUGACACUGAUGCUCGAAAGUGUGGGUAUCAAACAGGAUUAGAUACCCUGGUAGUCCACACAGUAAACGAUGAAUACUCGCUGUUUGCGAUAUACAGUAAGCGGCCAAGCGAAAGCAUUAAGUAUUCCACCUGGGGAGUACGCCGGCAACGGUGAAACUCAAAGGAAUUGACGGGGGCCCGCACAAGCGGAGGAACAUGUGGUUUAAUUCGAUGAUACGCGAGGAACCUUACCCGGGCUUAAAUUGCAGUGGAAUGAUGUGGAAACAUGUCAGUGAGCAAUCACCGCUGUGAAGGUGCUGCAUGGUUGUCGUCAGCUCGUGCCGUGAGGUGUCGGCUUAAGUGCCAUAACGAGCGCAACCCUUAUCUUCAGUUACUAACAGGUUAUGCUGAGGACUCUGGAGAGACUGCCGUCGUAAGAUGUGAGGAAGGUGGGGAUGACGUCAAAUCAGCACGGCCCUUACGUCCGGGGCUACACACGUGUUACAAUGGGGGGUACAGAAGGCAGCUAGCGGGUGACCGUAUGCUAAUCCCAAAAUCCUCUCUCAGUUCGGAUCGAAGUCUGCAACCCGACUUCGUGAAGCUGGAUUCGCUAGUAAUCGCGCAUCAGCCACGGCGCGGUGAAUACGUUCCCGGGCCUUGUACACACCGCCCGUCAAGCCAUGGGAGCCGGGGGUACCUGAAGUACGUAACCGCAAGGAUCGUCCUAGGGUAAAACUGGUGACUGGGGCU
rnacentral:rRNA from 1 species